UACAGAGGUCUCAAGCGUUGUUCGGAAUUACUGGGCGUAAAGGGCUCGUAGGCGGCCAACUAAGUCAGACGUGAAAUCCCUCGGCUUAACCGGGGAACUGCGUCUGAUACUGGAUGGCUUGAGUUCGGGAGAGGGAUGCGGAAUUCCAGGUGUAGCGGUGAAAUGCGUAGAUAUCUGGAGGAACACCUGUGGCGAAGGCGGCCGACUGGGCCGACCCUGACGCUGAGGCGCGAAGGCGUGGGGAGCGAACGGG
rnacentral:rRNA from 1 species